ACAGCUCAAAUUUGAAAUCUGGCCUCUUUGGGGUCCGAGUUGUAAUUUGUAGAGGAUGUUUCGGGUACCGCCUCGGUUUAAAUUUCUUGGAACAGAAUGUCAGAGAGGGUGAGAAUCCCGUCUUGGACCGGCGGUAGGGCCCAUGUGAAACUCCUUCGACGAGUCGAGUUGUUUGGGAAUGCAGCUCAAAAUGGGUGGUAAAUUUCAUCUAAAGCUAAAUAUUGGCCAGAGACCGAUA
rnacentral:rRNA from 1 species